UUUGUUCUUUUUCGGUGGAAAAAAAAAAACCUAUGUUCUUGAAAGCUUAAUGGUCGAUCUAAGAAUCGAUGAUAAAAUUGUUCGAUUAUCAACCUAUUACGUCUGCGUUUAUCAUCUUUCUAUCUCAAAAUCGGAAUUCUUCAUAGAGAUUAUUACGAAGAUGAUGAUAUUGCCAAUAGAAGACGAUUUACAAAGAUAAGUUCUCUGUUACGAUCUAUUCUAU